GAUGAACGCUAGCUACAGGCUUAACACAUGCAAGUCGAGGGGCAGCAUUUCAGCUUGCUUGCAAACUGGAGAUGGCGACCGGCGCACGGGUGAGUAACACGUAUCCAACCUGCCGAUAACUCGGGGAUAGCCUUUCGAAAGAAAGAUUAAUACCGAUAGUAUAAUUAGACCGCAUGGUCUUAUUAUUAAAGAAUUUCGGUUAUCGAUGGGGAUGCGUUCCAUUAGGCAGUUGGUGAGGUAACGGCUCACCAAACCUUCGAUGGAGUAGGGGUUCGUGAGGAGGAAGGUCCCCCCACAUUGGAACUGAGACACGGU
rnacentral:rRNA from 1 species